CCUAAAGCCAGAAGGAAAAAAAAACACAGCAUAGAAAUGAUAUUUGGAGCAGAUGUAAAAAAUCCUAAAGAAGAUUGCUAAAGUAAAUCAAGUACACUUUCCAUUCCAGUUUGAAGCUGUGGCAUAGCUUCUUCAGAAAUUAGCAGUCACUCGGCUCAGUUCAGAAGAUUAUUUGCCUUGCUAUUCCAGGUGUUAUGAUCAGAGCGCAGACAAGACCCAGCUGAUAGCUGCAGAGCUUAGGCAAAAAAGGUUUUCAGAUCCUGUGUGCCAGCUUCCAUAUCAAUUGCGUGACUUCACA
ensembl:lncRNA